GGGGUGUAGUUCAGUGGUAGAAUAAAGGUCUCCAAAACCUCAGAUGAGAGUUCGAUUCUUUCCACCCCC
rnacentral:tRNA from 1 species